rnacentral:rRNA from 1 species
UGGGGAAUUUUGGACAAUGGGCGAAAGCCUGAUCCAGCAAUGCCGCGUGUGUGAAGAAGGCCUUCGGGUUGUAAAGCACUUUUGUCCGGAAAGAAAUCCUUGGCUCUAAUACAGUCGGGGGAUGACGGUACCGGAAGAAUAAGCACCGGCUAACUACGUGCCAGCAGCCGCGGUAAUACGUAGGGUGCAAGCGUUAAUCGGAAUUACUGGGCGUAAAGCGUGCGCAGGCGGUUUGCUAAGACCGAUGUGAAAUCCCCGGGCUCAACCUGGGAGCUGCAUUGGUGACUGGCAGGCUAGAGUAUGGCAGAGGGGGGUAGAAUUCCACGUGUAGCAGUGAAAUGCGUAGAGAUGUGGAGGAAUACCGAUGGCGAAGGCAGCCCCCUGGGCCAAUACUGACGCUCAUGCACGAAAGCGUGGGGAGCAAACAGGAUUAGAUACCCUGGUAGUCCACGCCCUAAACGAUGUCAACUAGUUGUUGGGGGAUUCAUUUCCUUAGUAACGUAGCUAACGCGUGAAGUUGACCGCCUGGGGAGUAC